rnacentral:rRNA from 1 species
UACGUAGGGGGCUAGCGUUGUCCGGAAUCAUUGGGCGUAAAGCGCGUGUAGGCGGUCCGGUAAGUCCGCUGUGAAAGUCGGGGGCUCAACCCUCGGAUGCCGGUGGAUACUGUCGGGCUUGAGUACGGAAGAGGCGAGUGGAAUUCCUGGUGUAGCGGUGAAAUGCGGCAGAUAUCAGGAGGAACACCCGUGGCGAAGGCGGCUCUCUGGGACGGUACUGACGCUGAGACGCGAAAGCGUGGGAGCGAACAGG